rnacentral:rRNA from 1 species
UACGUAGGGUGCGAGCGUUGUCCGGAAUUAUUGGGCGUAAAGAGCUUGUAGGCGGUUUGUCGCGUCUGCUGUGAAAAUCCGGGGCUCAACCCCGGACUUGCAGUGGGUACGGGCAGACUAGAGUGUGGUAGGGGAGACUGGAAUUCCUGGUGUAGCGGUGGAAUGCGCAGAUAUCAGGAGGAACACCGAUGGCGAAGGCAGGUCUCUGGGCCACUACUGACGCUGAGAAGCGAAAGCAUAGGGAGCGAACAGG